rnacentral:hammerhead_ribozyme from 1 species
AUCCAGCUGACGAGUCCCGAAUAGGACGGAAUGUGUGUCAAACUGAAU